rnacentral:ncRNA from 1 species
UGGGGGAUUUUAUAGUAGUCUGCUGAAAGUUAGGGUGAUGUUAUUUAUGUUUUAUUCAUUUUCAUGGACAAUGGUGUUUGAUCCUGGAUUUAGUCAUUUGUAUUAUUUAUGUACCAGAAUAAUCGGAUAGACUUAAAAAAUUUGUACUUUAAUCGUGGUGAAUAAUAAUAGUUUAUUUAAUUAUUAGAAUCUGUUUUGUGGAAUAGUUAGAGGUUUUUGUUUUUUAUUAUUAUUUCAAUUGAAUUGAAUGAACUAGAUUAGUACCUAGGUAAUUUUUUUGUAUUAGUACAGAAGUAUAAUUAUAUUGAAACUGAAGCUAUUUUUGGGAGGCUUUGAAAUAAUUUUUGGAGGUUGACGAGUAAUUGAGAACCCUCAUUAUCGGCUGGUGUUUUAGUAAUAUGUAUGAUCGUCUUUUCUAUUAUUAAGUAAUUAGAAGUAAAGUUUUGUGGCUAUAAAGAUAGAUAUAUAUCUAUUAGAUACACUAGAUUUUAGUUGACCUACAUUAUUGAGAUUUGUGGAUUUCUAGAUGAGAGUUUGGAAUGAAAAUGGAAAGGAUAGUAAAUUAAUUUUUAUGGUUAAUUGAAGGAUAUCUCAAUGCGGCACAAAUCAUCCAUCAAUUGCUUAAAGAGUAGUAAGUUGUAGUAUAGUAAGGGUAGGGGAACCUGUUCUUAGUAAUUU